CUUGAUGGAGCCGAGCAGCAGCGGCCGGUCGGCGGGGCGGUCCUGGCCGUAGGUGGCGAGGACGGCCUGGGCCUC
rnacentral:antisense_RNA from 1 species